GAUGAACGCUGGCGGCGUGCCUAAUACAUUCAAGUCGAGCGAACAGACGAGGAGCUUGCUCCUCUGACGUUAGCGGCGGACGGGUGAGUAACACGUGGAUAACCUACCUAUAAGACUGGGAUAACUUCUGGAAACCGGCGCUAAUACCGGAUAAUAUAUUGAACCGCAUGGUUCAAUAGUCAAAGACGGUUUUGCUGUCACUUAUAGAUGGAUCCGCGCCGCAUUAGCUAGUUGGUAAGGUAACGGCUUACCAAGGCAACGAUGCGUAGCCGACCUGAGAGGGUGAUCGGCCACACUGGAACUGAGACACGGUCAAGACUCCUACGGGAGGCAGCAGUAGGGAAUCUACCGCAAUGGGCGAAAGCGUGACGGAGCAACGCCGCGUGAGUGAUGAAGGUAUACGGAUCGUAAAACUCUGUUAUUAGGGAAGAACAAAUGUGUAAGUAACUAUGCACGUCUUGACGGUACCUAAUCAGAAAGCCACGGCUAACUACGUG
rnacentral:rRNA from 1 species